AGAGCGAACGCUGGCGGCAGGCCUAACACAUGCAAGUCGAGCGCCCCGCAAGGGGAGCGGCAGACGGGAGAGUAACACGUGGGAACGUGCCCUUUGGUUCGGAACAACACAGGGAAACUUGUGCUAAUACCGGAUAAGUCCGUAAGGAGAAAGAUUUAUCGCCAAAGGAUCGGCCCGCGUCUGAUUAGCUAGUUGGUGAGGUAACGGCUCACCAAGGCGACGAUCAGUAGCUGGUCUGAGAGGAUGAUCAGCCUCACUGGGACUGAGACACGGCCCAGACUCCUACGGGAGGCAGCAGUGGGGAAUAUUGGACAAUGGGCGCAAGCCUGAUCCAGCCAUGCCGCGUGGAUGAUGAAGGCCCUAGGGUUGUAAAGUCCUUUCGACGGGAGAUAAUGACGGUACCCGUAGAAGAAGCCCCGGCUAACUUCGUGCCAGCAGCCGC
rnacentral:rRNA from 1 species